CAGAUCCAAAGCCCAUUGCAUACAAUAGGAGACUUUCCAUUGACUUCAGUGGGCUUUAGAUCAGGCUCUAAA
rnacentral:miRNA from 1 species